UACAGAGGGUGCAAGCGUUAUUCGGAAUUACUGGGCAUAAAGAGCGCGUAGGCGGUUCGAUAAGUCUGAUGUGAAAUCCCUGGACUCAAUUCAGGAAGUGCAUCGGAUACUGUCGAACUAGAGUGCAGGAGGGGAGAGCGGAAUUCCUGGUGUAGAGGUGAAAUUCGUAGAUAUCAGGAGGAACAACAGUGGCGAAGGCGGCUCUCUGGACUGUUACUGAGCUGAGGCGCAAAAGCGUGGGGAGCAAAACGG
rnacentral:rRNA from 1 species